UUUCAUAUGAUGAAAUUUUCCUAUCUCAGGAUUCCCUCUUCUGAGUAGAACCCUAAAACAACCGUGCUGUUCACUUUCCCUGUCUGAAAUA
ensembl:snoRNA snoRNA:Me28S-G2703a snoRNA:Me28S-G2703a